UAACACAUCUUAUCAAAUGUGCUUUUUUCAUCUUGCUACAGAAAAUGAACUCACUAAACGUAUCUUUCUCUCUCUAUGUCUUUUUCUGUUUCACACACACAGACACACACAAGUUUGUUUUUCUAGACCUAUUAUUACUUUAUUAAAUCAAUCCUCCAGCUGCUGCUGGCAUUUUCACUAAAACCAGGAAGAUAGAGCACAUCAGCCCAGUUCUAAAGUCCUUACACUGGCUCCGUGUAUCUCAGAGGAUAGACUUUAAGAUACUGCUGUUGCUGAACGGCUUAGCACCACAAUACAUUAAAGAUCUGUUGUUAUUGUAUCAACCUCCCAGUUCACUCAGGUCUCUGGUUCUAAUCUUCAGAAUCUUGAACAAACUUCCAGAAAACUGCAAAACAGCUGAAACACUGAGUUCCUUUAAUCAAGACUAAAAACCCAUUUGUUUAUAGAGUUGGCCUUAAUUAAUAAAAACUGGAACACAGGUAAGAUGUGAUGUGAUUUUUAUUUGUUUACUGUGUUAUUUUUCAUCUUGUCCAACAGAUUUAAUUGACUCGAAAUGUGUUUUACAAGUUGACUUAUUGACUUUCCUUAUCUGAUACAAUAUUUCUUUGGACCUGUGAGCAAACAUUACCAAAUUAGAAGUACAAGCUGAGUGUAUGUAACUCUGAACUGUUUUGUAUGUGAUAUCUGCUGGCUUUGUCUGACUGCAAACCUUUUUUCCUCUGCAGACCUGCAUCCAAACCUCUGGGGAGCUGGCCGGGCGGCAAAACCAGAAACUUCCAGCUUUGGGAACAUAAAGUGGUGGUUAUGCAGUCGUGACCUGGGUUGGUGAGUUUUCACUCUAACUUUCUGCUGCUGCCCUGAUCAAUGACUUGGAUUUAAGCUAUUUGAUGUCAUACAUCAAAGGUGAAAUAAGGAGUUUACAGGAGGAACUGUCUCCAAUUUACCCAGGUGAGUUUCCAUAGCAUCCUAAAUCUAUUUGAGUAAAGCUGCAGAGUUAAUUCAUAUUUGACAAAAAGUCUGUCUCAAAGAAUAAAGCUGUAUGUCCUGCAAAAACACAGUUUGGUACAUGACUUAA